rnacentral:lncRNA from 1 species
AUCCCCGAGGCGGCCCUGCGCCCGGGCGCGCCGGCUGGGGCUCUGGCGCUCUCGCAGGCCCCGAGGCCGACAGUCCCGGCGAGGGCGGGCGCCCCGCGCUCCAGCACCGGCUGCCUGAGCGCUCCUGGAGCAGCAAACCCCAGACUUCUUCCUCCUUCUCUCCUUCCUUCCUUCCCCCUCCCCUUAUCUUUUUCUUUUUUUAGUCUCUUUCUCCCUCUUUUUCUGCCCUGUGUCCUUUUUAUUUUUUCUCUACGACUGUUUUUGCAAGUUUGUUUCAAAAGUUCACAGCAUGCUUUCUUUUCUUUUAGACCGGGAGACAGUGAUCUCACCCACACGGUAAGAUCAAAAGUCUCCGCUCGCCCAGCCUGCGGGCUUGGGCUGGGUCCAGACGUCUCCCAGGAUGCAGAUGCGCCGCCGCUGGCCUCCCCGGCUAUAAAGCCGCCUCCAGCGCCUUUCCGCGCGCAGGAGCGCUCGGAGUUGUGGGGUACGGACCCCAGGCGGGGCAGGGAGUCCGAGGCGGGCUGCGGCGGGGCUCUCGGGCUGGCGGACUCGGGGGCUGAGGCGCCGUGCGCGUUGGGUGCCCGCGGCCGCAGAGGCCAGAACCGCUACUCCUCCAGGCCGGGGAGACGCGGCCGUGGAGCGUGAAACGCUUCUUGCAAGCGAGGAAACGAUGAAGAAGACGAGGCUUGAGAGACGAAGGAAUGAAUGAAGGGUCUCACAGCUGUUAGAAGGGUUAGAUCUUGUAUUUGGACUCAGGUCUGCCUGCCCUGGAACUUGACUCUCCCACACCUGGUGCUGGGCACACUAGGAGACGUCACAAGGCUCAGAGAUGCCACCCUUCCUAGAACGGGCGCCGUGCCUCUCUUCUCCACACACUGCAGGGGAGACAGGCACUGUGUUUUCAGAUAAGUUCCAUGUGCAUCAGGGGCUCGGUGGGAAAGGGAGGACACACUCAGAUUAGGAUUAUUCAUGGAGGAUUCUCCAAAGAGGCUAUUUGGAAAGACGGAGGGAAUGGUGAAGGAAAGCACAAGAGAAAAUGGACAGAACCGUUACUUCCUCACGCCUGAAGGGGAUGGGUUACUGGAAGCCAGGAGGAGAGUGUGAUAAGAGCCACUUUUAGAGGAGCUUUCACCUUCAGGAGAAAGUCAGGGCCCAAGAAGACCCACAGGGAGGUGACCAGGGAAUGGCAUACUUGGACUACCCUCUCUUCUGUUCCUCCACUCUCCUGCCAGGGCUCCACAUUGGAUAAACCCCUGCAGGGGCGAGUGAAACUGCCACCCAGGUUUGCCUCCCAGGGCACAGCCCAUGGAGAGCUCUAAGGCAAGUGGCAGAAAACUAGCACAGGUGCAGUGCGUCUUGCAAAGCACCCAGCCUAUGCCGGCCCUGGGCUAGAAAUGGGAAGAGAGGAGACCAUGGCACUGCCCUCAAAGAUCUUAGAGUCUGUGGAGGAGUCAGGCAGAGAGAGGGGGUGUUCCCUUGGCAAAGGACUCCAUGAGCAGAUGCAGGCCAUGGGCGACGCUCCUGCAGAAGCUUUGGGGUUUGCCGCAUGUGCCUGGAAGGAGCGCGCCCACCUUGACAUGCCUCGCCUCCUGUUGCCAUUGACAACGUGAAGGCAAACUCCUGGGGCUGGGCCUUUUUCCUUGAGAUAAAAUAUGUAUAAUUCUCUGUUAUCAAAUGAUUAUUAAACAAAAUCUAAUUGAAAAAAUAGAAAGAAGAAAAGAUAAGUCAUUUAUCAUCCUGUUCUCCAAAGACAACUGUGAACAGCUUGGUGGAACUCCUUCCAGUGGCUUUCCUUGGAGCUUUGCCUCUGUGGAUGUGGUAAGAGUCGGAUGCGAUUUUGAAUUUUGAGAUUUUGAUUGAGCAUUGUUGUAGUAUUUUGCCAUGUUAUGAUAAAUCAUUGGCAAACAUAGUUUUUGACGGCUGCAUAAUAUUCUGCAUAAUAUUCAUAAUAAUGAAUGCUAGUAUAGUUCAUAUUAUAAUUCUUCUACUGUAUUUAUUUAUUUAUUUAUUUUUGAGAUAGAGUCUUGCUUUGUCACCGAGGCUGGAAUGCAGUGGCGCGAUCUCAGCUCACUGCAACCUCCACCUCCUGAGUUCAAGCUGUCCUCCCACCUCAGCCUCCUUCAAUAGCUGUGACUACAGGUAUUCGCCACCAUGCUGGACUAAUUUUUGCAUUUUUUAGUAGAGACGGGGUUUCACCAUGUUGGCCAGGCUGGUCUUGAACUCCUGACCUCAGGUGAUCUGCCCGCUUCGGCCUCCCACAGUGCUGGGAUUACAGGCAUGAGCCACCACGCUCAGCCUUCUUCUACUGUUUAAAUGUUUAGGUUAUAUCCUGUUUCAUUAAUAUUAAAGAAUGCUAUAAUUAAAAACUUUGUGUAUAGAGAAUUUUUCCAUGUUUCAGAUUAUUUAUCCAGGAUGAUGUCUCUAAAAUAAAGCUACUAGAGGUUGAAGUAUCUAGCCCAGGGCCAGCCACAGAAUAGACACAACUUGGUUGAUAACUAUUGUUGUUCAGUGGUGAGUGUUUAUGUAAAGCUCUUCUGCAAUUAAGAACUGCUCCAAAGUCCUUCCUCUAGAACAGCGCUUGAAUAUGAUGUGAGCCACGUAAUUCUCAAUGUUAUAAUAACCACAUUUCAAAAAGCAGACACAGUUGAAAUUAAUUUUAAUAAUACCUUUUACUGGAGCUGGGCAUGGUGUCAGGCCUGUAAUCCCAGCACUUUGGGAGGCCGAGUUGGGCAGAUCACAUGAGCCCAGGAGUUUGAGACCAGGCUGAGCAACAUGGCAAAACCUCAUCUCUACAGACAAAUACAAAAAUUAGCCAAAUAGGUGGUGUGUGGCUGUAGUCCCAGCUACUCGGGAGGCUGAGGUGAGAGGAUCACUUGAGCCUGGGGGGUUAAGGCUGCAGUGAGCCAAGAUUGCACCAGCGUACCCCAACCUGGGUGACAAAGUAAGACCCUGUCUCAAAAAAAAACAUUAAUUAAUUAAAACAAACAUAAAAAUACAUUUUACUUAACCGAUUAUAUCUAAAAUAUUAUUUCAACAUAUGAUUAUAUGUAAUCAACAUAAAAUUUAUCAAUGAGAUAGUCUACAUUUUUUUCCCAUGUAAACCUUUGAAAUCUGAUGUAUAGAUUUUAUGCUUACAACACAGCUCCAUUCAAACCAGCCUCAUUCCCAGUGUUCAGUAGCCACGUGGGUGCCUGAUAGCCACUGUGGACAGUGCAGGUCUAGGGCAAGGAACCCACCAGAGAUAUUUGCCACUGUUGGCAUCUUCACCUAGCCCUGAAAUCCAGCCACCUUUUAAUGCCUCCCCGAACCCCCUUACUGGCGUUCUGGACUGAGGGUGGACCGGGUGGCCAGGUGUGACAUGACUUCUGUACCUGGACAUUUUUACCAGUCGUCCUCAUUCCUGCCUUGACCUUGACCUUAGCCAAUCACAGCAUCCCUCUAUCCCAGUGUGCCUGGCACUGGUUCAUUCAGAGACAUUGCACACUUCCCGCAUGGUAAGCCCUGGGCCUGACCCUAGGGAUACAGGUGGACAAACAGAACUUUCUUGUAAAAUUUAAUUACAGAACUUGUCAGUGUUUUUACGGUCUAGUGGGGGAGACAGACUUUAAUCAAAUCAUCACACAAAUAUAUAUAGUUUCUAAAUGUGGUUAAGUGCUACAAGGGAAAUGCACUUUUAAAAAUGCUAACACUGGGUCAUGGCAUGAGUGGCCCGCCCUGAAGGCAUUUAAUAAAGGUGGCCCAGCCCCUGGCCAGGCUGUCUUAGGGAACAUUCAUGUGAAAGAUGAGAGUGAGAUAAGAGGAUCUCAGUUUCCUUCUGGUAUCCAGGGUCCCUAAGCUACAUUAACAGAGUUUCUAGGACAGACAGUAGCUCACCGGUUCCUGUGUCUGGGGCCCAGUUGAUCAAUUUGUUGUUUGUCAUCUCUAAAAAGUAUUGCGGCCAGCUGGAACAUAAAAGUAAUGAGGAAACAGGCCAGGUGCAGUGGCUCAUGCCUGUAAUCCCAGCACUUUGGGAGGCUGAGGUGGGCGGGGGAUCACCUGAGGUCGGGAGUUUGAGAUCAGCCUCACCAACAUGACUAAAACCUGUCUCUACCGAAAAUACAAAAUUAGCCGGGCAUGGUGGCACACGCCUGUAAUCCCAGCUACUUGGGAGGCUGAGGCAGGAGAAUCACUUGAACCUGGAAGGCGGAGAUUGCAAUGAGCCGAGAUCGUGCCACUGCACUGCAGCCUGGGGAACAAGAGUGAAACUCUGUCUCAAAAACAAACAAACAAAAAAGUGAUGAGGAAGCAGAAGGCUACCCAUUCAUUCAUUCAUUCAUUCAUUUGUUCCUGUGUUCACGCAGCAACUCUCAGUGAGUGCUCUGUGGGAUGCCAGGCAGGCUCUGCACAGUCAGAAUGGCAAAGUCAGCCUUCUCUCUGGCAGAUUACACACUGCCAACUGAACACACUUUUCCGGGGAACAUAUCCACUUAAAAGAGAGGAAAAAUCAAUGCUAAUAGAACUCCUUAUCUGGUUCCAAAAAUGACAUCGUCCGUAGUGGCUGAUGCUUUGAGCCCAUGGCUGCUCUGGAGGCAUGAGCCCUGCAUGGACACAAUUUUGUAAGCUCCUCGAACCUGGCCAAAUCAAUCAAUGAGAGGCUGCAGCAUGGAGAGAGUCUGGGUUCCAGGGGCAAACUGUACCAUUCCUCUUCUAACCUGAAACAGGACGGAGACCCUCCCUUCAACCUCCAGCCCCUAGGGACAGGGUAAUUUCAGCUGCACCUGAUGUACCCUAUACAUCACUGUCUUCUCCACCAGCUCUCAAAUUAAACUCUGAUGUAUAAAGUUAAACAAAAAUGAGAUAAAAUUUGGCAGAGGUUGAAGAGGGUCAAAGUAGUCCAAACAUAAGGUAGACUAUUGCUUCUUUUGAUUUAUGUUAUUCUGUACACUGAGAAAAAAAUAAAAUUAUAAAUCUCCCCGAGACUUUCUCAUUGAGAAUGAGGCAUUGCUAAUUGAUUUUCAAUAGACUCCCAGGGUUUUCAGCUGGGAGGAGCACUAUAGCUGUUGUUUGUAGUGAAGAUGCCAUGGUUCGACCUCGGACAUGUACUGUGAUGAUGUAAAAAUAUCCUGCAAAAUUAACAUCUGCAGGCAGUGAUGUUGAAAACCACCCUGCCUUACCUGGCUCAUGUCACAGACCACAGUGUCUGUCCUUCCUUAUUUUCUUAUUUAAUCCUUGCAAACCCCUAAUAUGUGACACACAGAAUUCACUGUCCCCUUUUGGCAGUUAGGGAAACUGAGGCUUAAAGAAACCACGUGUCUUCAGUAAAUAUUAGCAUGUCUACUAAAUGGCUGGGACACAGAAGUGAACAAGACCAGUACCCUCUCCUAGAGACCUUCUUCCAGUACAAGAGACGAUAAUCAAGUCAAAUGACUAAAUAUAAAGGAUUAUUAGUGUGUAGAAUUAAUUGUGAGGAAAUGGAAGUGGGAAAAGGGAUAGAGAAAAAGGGGUAUAGAAAGCCAAGGGAGGGCCUUAACAAGGGAAUAUUUAACAGUAAAACAGUAAGAUUUACUUUUUUUUUUUUUUUUGAGAUAGGGUCUUGCUCUGUCACCCAGGCUGGAGUUCAGUGGUACUAUCAAAGCUCACUGCAGCCUCAAACUCCUGGGCUCAAACAAUCCUCUCACCUCAGCCUCUCAAGUAGCUGGGAUUAUAGGUACACAACAACACACCUGGCUUAUUUUUUAAUUUUUUGUAGAGAUGGGAUCUCACUAUGUUGUCCAGGCUGGUCUUGAACUCCUGGCCUCAAAGGAUCCUUCUACCUCAGCCUCCCAAAGCACUGGGAUUACAGGCAUAAGCCACCAAGCCUGGCCCAAGAUAUACAUUUUUAAAGGAUGGUGAAGGCUGCUGUGUGUAGAACUAACUCAGGGGGACAAGGGCAACAUCAGAGAGACCAGUUAGUAGGCUGUGCUCAUUUUCUGGACAAGAUAUGGUGGUGAGUUGGGCCAGGUGGUGGCAGGAGUGGUAGGUUGCAGAGCUUAGAACAAUUUUGAAGAUAAGGUGUCUCCAAGGGAUCUGUUCCUGCUCCGUUGCUCUUUCCACAGCACGCUACCUGCAGCUUCUGCUGGUAUCACUGCACCAGACUCUGGAGCACGCUGCUUCUCUGGAGGAGGAUAAAGACAGGGAGGCUAUCUAGGGAGAUAAGACUGCACCAGCAGGCAGCAGGGGCUUCCGAGAAGAGGGCCCCUAGUCCUGGCUGCGUAUGUGCUUGUGUGUGUCACUUGCGAUGUGCAUAAUCAUCUUCAGUCUUAUUUUUCCCAGGUAACUGCAAAAGGUAAUUUCCAGCUCAUUUAGCUCUGUUCUUUCCCUAAGCUCCUCUAGUCUGGCUUUUGUCUCUGCCACUCCUACCAAAACCACUCUGCUCAAGGCCAUGAUCAAUGUCUCCAUUGCCUAGUCCAGGACAGUCAGAGCUGCUCUGGGACAGAUACACCAGAUGCAUGAGUUUCCUGAUAGAGCAGGAUCUCAGUGGAGGCUCGAUGCCCACCUGCCUGAUGCUGUGGGAUGGAUUUCUGCACAGAUGCAACCUCUGUGGGCAGAGGCCAGGAUGAGGCUUAUGUGGCUGUGAAGACAGCCUUUGAUCUGUUUUCUGAUGCAACCACAGUGCUGCAGGCCCUGCUUCAUCUUGGAGGUUUGAUGAGUGCAGACAUGAGAGGUUUCUAGGUAGAGCUGAGCCCUGGGCUCUCGAGUCUCCUCUGUCUGCAUAUCUGCAUGUGGUUGGCAAAGUGCCAGCCAACCUCAGUGCAACCCUCACCAAGUUCUCAAGGAACAGCCUCUGAAAGUCCCUCUCUAUGCUGAGUUCUAGGGAAGGAAAAGGAACUCAGGGAAUAGAAGAGCUGAUCUGCCCAAGUCAUACAUUUCUUGGGGGCACAGGAGGACUACAUCUCUCAUGCUCACUUGAAAUUAACUGUGGCCACUCAAAUUAAGGUUUACCAGAUGGAACAUGAGCGGGAGUGAUGUGUUCUCUCUAAAGGCCUAACCCAUGAAAAACCUAUUGGGAACACUCCCCCAUGCUCUUUUCCAUUCCAUGAGCUGGAUGCAGAUGAUGGCAAGGAACUAGGGUGAGGUGGAACCACAAAACAGAGGGAGCUUGGAUCCCUGAAUGACCACAUGGACAUACACAUACACCAAAGACUGUCUUGUAAGCAAGAAAUAAACAUCUACUGUAUGGAACCUUUGCAUGGAGGGUCUAUUUGUUAUAGCAGCUUAGCUUACCCUGACUAAUACAAUCCCUGCUCUCUGAGAAUUUAAAAUUGCUUCAAGGAGACAAGACUCACUCAUACAAUUCUGGAAUGGUAGUACGUGGCUUCGAAGAAGGGUGGGUUGUAAGGUUUGGACUUUCAGUUCUGAAGUCACAAGCUAUAGGCCCUUGGGUAUUAGACUCUCCUAUUGAAGGCCUUUUUCUGGAAAGCUGGAAGAUAGACUGGGGAGAAGGCCCUUCUGGAAGAGGACACAUUACAAUCAAGGGUUCAAAAGUAGGGCUUGAAGCAAGCAUAGAUGAGAUCAACAAUGUUAAUUCCUAGAAAAUGAAAAAGGAAAAUGGCCUUUAAAUACCUAAGAGCUUUGACUGCUGCAGGGAUGAGACGAAGGCCAGACUUUCAUAACUUCUCUCCUGUGACUUCACACACCUCAGAAGUUUUCUGGUGAGGAGCCCUGAACCUGGGUGUGUGGGGAGUUGGUGUCAGCUUGCUGUUUCUCUCCCAUGCCUUUUCUCCUGGCUAGGAACCCCACUUGUUGUCUGUUUUAACCAAUAACUUAGCUCAGACUUGAAUGCUUGAUUGGAACAGCAAGUCUCCAGCUUUCUGCAGAGGUCUUUGGGGACAGGAAUAUGAUGAAGUUUCUGAGCUGAGGAUUCUAACUGAGACUUCCAGCUCUCAGCUGAACUUCAGACGUGUUCUUUACAGUCACAGCUGUGAAGCUUUUCAGGGCAAGGCCCUGAAAAGCUCAGCUUGGAUCUGUCUGUCCCUACCAGGUUCUGGGGGAAGGGGGAGGAGAGCAGGCAGAACACUCCCAGUUUACAGCCCAGGGAUGCUGAGUCCUGGGGCCAAAGGUGUUGCUCAUCACCCUCGAGCCCUAGAAGUGGCAGGACCUCAGGAGAAUUCAAAGUGGUCUUCCUCUUAGGAAAGAUAAACACUUAUUCCACUGGUUCUCCUCUUCCUGGACACUCCACUCCCUUCUUCCCAGACUCACACACCUCCUAACUGCACCCCAAUGAAUGGUGCUUCUCUGGGUCCCCCACAGACAAACAUUGGGGAGCAGCCACUAAAGACUUGGGUUCUGGUUCCAACUGCUGAUUUUGAUUAAGGGUGUGACCUUGGCCCUCUUCAUCCCCCUCUCUUCUUCCCCUGUUCAUUCACAGCUGCUUUUGUUAAUAUUCAUGGUGCAUUAUGUAACUAUUGUUCACAGUUGAGCCAAGUAGUGUACUAGACUUGCUUGGUUGGUUUCAUUCUCCUUUUGUUUUCCCUGAAGCCAAUAAUCAACUCAUUUUCAUUUGCUUGGUGUUGUUUGCACAGAUGAUUAAGUUUUCCCUUACCUACCUGCAGCCUGUCAAGACAAUUUUCCACAAGAUUGAACAGAUCAGAAAAUCCACUGGGAGCAGUUUCUUCUUCUUCUUGGAGGUGUCCCCUCUGUAGGCCUCUGACGUUCCAGUUCAGUUCCCUGUUUGGGCAACAGCACAACUAUCAUAUGGGCUUUUCUUCACCUCCAGCUUGGAGAAUUUCUUUACUUCUCUCAUCCAUUGGAUCCACUGCUUCCUGGAGCCGAUGCCUUUCCCUCCUUGGUUUCAUCCCUUCUUUUGUUGGUGCACAGCCCCCAGCAGCUGUCUGCUAAUGCAGGGAUGACAUCUGGGGGUUAAGCUAGCAGGACAAAGGAGCUUCUGCCAUUUCUCUUCUGGAUAAUCAUCCCCCAACAAACAACAACAGCAGCAAAUAAAUAAAACAAGAAGAAUGUGAAAGAGAAAUGCAAAUUUCAUUUUAUACAAAAUAAGCAGACAGACACAACCCAGUACUGCAAAGAGUGGAAAAUAGGUGGGAGAGAGUCGAAGGACCUUGUUCUGCUAGGUGUCUGCAGCAGGGCAGAAGCCGAUCUACCAGGCAGAACCCCAGAGUAGCUCAGGAAUCCAAGAUGCCACACAAGGCAAAGUGAGGUGUGGCAGGUCACAGGUUGCAGGCCUCCAUGGGGAAUAGCUAGGCCCCCAGGUUCCCACCCCUGAGCCUGACACCUUCCCCUGUCCUUUUGGAAGACGGGAAGAGGAUCCAGGCAAGGGCCAGGGUGAACACAAACCAAAACGAGGGGGAUUGGGGGAAGUUUACUCUUGUACACAGUCCCCCAGCUCUUUUCUGUCUGGCUCAUGGUCCAGGAGCAGAGGUAGGUCAUGGGUCACCUUUUCUUUAUGUCCUACAAGAGGUAUGAAUUUUAACACAUGCACUGGUUGUGUAACCAGAACUUCAAUCAGGAUACAGAAGAGUUCCAUCCCCUCCUGCCCCCGACUCCCUCAUGUUACCCCUUUUAUAGACAAACACUCCCUCCACCCCUUGCCCCUGGGAGCCACUGAUCUGUUCUCCAUCACUGCAAUGUUGUCUCUUUAAGAAUGUCACAUAAAUGGAGUCAUGUCAUAUGCUACCUUUUGAGACUGGCUUCCUUCACUCGGCAUAAUGCCUAUUUAUUUAUUUAUUUAUUUAUUUAUUUAUUUAUUUAUUGAGACAGAUUGUUGCUCUUGUCGCCUAGGCUGGAGUGCAGUGGCAUGAUCUCGGCUCAUUGCAACCUCCACCUCCUGGGUUCAAGCGAUUCUCCUGCCUCGGCCUCCCAGGUAGCUGAGAUUACAGGCAUGCACCACCACACCCGGCUUAUUUUGGUAUUUUUAGUAGAGACAGGGUAUCACCAUGUUAGUCAGGCUGGUCUCAAACUCCUGACCUCAGGUGAUCCAACUGCCUCAGCCUCCCAAAGUGCUGGGAUUACAGGCGUGAGCCAACGUACCUGCCCAAUGCCUUUGAGACUCAUCCAAAUUAUUUCACGUAUUAGGAAUUUAUUUUUCCUUAUUUCUGAGUAGUGUUUCAUUGUAAGGAUGUACCACAGUGUGUUUAUCCAUCCACCCCUUGAACGACAUUUUGGGUUGUUUCUAGUUUUGACAGUUAUGAAGACUAUUGCUACAAACAUUUGCAUACAGGGUUUUGUGUAAAAACAGAUUUUUAUUUCACUGGAGUAAACACCCAAAGGUGGGAUUACUGGGUCCUAUGGAAAGUGUAUGUCUAAUCUUAUAGGAAGCUACCAAACAUUUUUUCAGAGUGGCUGUACUGAUUUUUAUUCCCACCAGCAAUAUAUAAGAGUCUUGUUGUUAGACAUGUUUGCCAACACUUGGUAUUGACAGUAUUUUUUUAAAAAAUGUUAUCAUUUUAAUAGGUAUAUAGUGGUAUCUCACUAUGACUUCAAGUUGCAUUUCCCUAACAGCUAAUUAUGUUGCACAUUUUUAUGUCCUUAUUUGCCAUUCUUACAUCUUUUUGGUGAGUGUCUCUUCAAGUCUUUUGCUCAUUUUAAAAAUUGAGUUGUUAGUAUACUUACUGUUGAGGCCUGCGUGUUCUUUACACAUUAAAUAUUCAAGUUCUUUUAAAAAAAAAAUACAGGGGCCUUUUGUAUUCCCUAAACUGGAAUGCAGUGGCAUGAUCAUAGUUUACUGUAGCCUUGAACUCCUGGGAUCGAGGGAUCCUCCCACCUCAGCCUUCCAACUAGCUGGGACUACAGGUGCAUGCCAUCAGGCCCAGCUAAUUUUUAUUUUAUUUUUUGUAGAGGAGGGGACUUGCUUUGUUGCUCAGGCUGGUCCUAAACUGCUGCCCUCAAGCAAUCCUCCUUCCUUGGCCUUCCGAAGGCAUGAGAAUUACAGGCAUGAGCCACUGUGCCUGGCCCAUAAAGAUGCAAGUUCUUUGAUGAAUAGGUUACUUACUAUUUUUUUUGUCCCAAUCUAUAGCUUCUGGUUUCAUUCCUUUAAUUGUCUUAUAUAGAGCAAAAGAUGUUUUUGUUGUUGUUGUUUUGUUUGUUUGUUUGGCAGAGCCUUGCACUGUCACCCAGGCUGGAAUGCAGUGGCAUAAUCUCAGCUCACUGCAGCCUCUGUCUCCCAGGUUCAAGCGAUUCUCCUGCCUCAGCCUCCUGAGUAGCUGGGAUGACAGGCGCCUGCCACCACGCCUGGCUAGUUUUUUGUAUUUUUAGUAGAGAUGGGGUUUCAAUCAGUUGGCCAGGCUGGUCUUGAACUCCUAGCCUUGUUAUCCGCCUGCCUCGGCCACCCAAAGUGCUGGGAUUACAGGCGUGAGCCACCGCGCCCAGCCUAGAGCAAAAGAUUUUGAUUGUGAUCAUGGACGCCAUCUUCAAACUGAUUCCCGUCUCCAUUAAUGUGCAUUUAUUGAGCACCUGUAGUAUACAGGUCCCUGUUGGGGGUUGAGCUUUACAAGACUGAUGGAACCUGGUGCUCAGAGCAUCCUCUAAGAUCUUUGCCCUUCCCCAGGGGAGGAGGUGCUGGUUUAGACCCAUAGCCCUGAGGGAAGUUCGGGACUUACUUAGGUUUUUCAACCCCAACUAUCCUCAGCUUCAAACCAAUGCCACCGAAUUACCCCCUGAGCAUUCCUGUCUUACCCACCCUCCUUUGCCUAAGCCUUGUUUUCCUUCACUCAAGCAUUGAUCUCCUCCUUCCUUCCUGGGUUAACCUUGCCUACAAUUCAAAGCUCAGCUGGGAUAAUCCAUCAGGCCUGAAAGCUUCUCCAACCCAAAGUUUCUAUCUCUCUGUCUAUGGCCUUGUUUGAUUAUAUCAUCUUUUCUUCCCACCUGGUAGGGUUUUGGGGAUUAAAUAAUAUGAAGCAUAUAGACAUGUGCAGCAAAAAGCCUAUUAGAAAGUAGAUUUUCCAUGCAAGUUGCUACAAAAUCAAAUAAGUUCCCAGUUCCUGAGAACCCAAGGUUUGAUAUGGUUUGCCUGUGUCUCCACCCAAAUCUCAUCUUGAGUUGUAGUUCCCACAAUUCCCAUGUGUCAUGGGAAGGACCCAAUGGGCAUAGGUCUUUUCUGUGCUGUUCUCAUGGUAGUGAAUCUUUCUCAGGAGAUCUGAUGGUCUUACAAAGGGGAGUCCCCCUGCACACACUCUCUUUCCUGCUGCCACGUAAGACAUGCCUUUGCUCCUCCUUGCCUUCCACUAUGAUUGUGAGGCCUCCCCAGCCUUCUGCCACUGUGAGUCCAUUAAACUUUUUCCUUUGUAAAUUACCCAGUCUCCAGUAUGUUUUUAUCAGCAGCAUGAAAAUGGACUAAUACAAAGUUCCCUCUAAUUCUAUGUUAGAAGCCUGUUUUAGAAGGGCUUCCACGAUUAUUUUAAUGAGAGCAAACUGGUUCAUGAGUACACCGGGCAACACACGGGCACUUUCACAGGAAAGUUAAGAGCAUCUUCCGCCAAAGGAGAGCCAGAGGCCAGUCAGGAAAAGGAAGGAUUUCUUAAUAAUAGGAGGUCUUUCGCUAUUCCAGUGUCCUGCCGCAAAAUGAUAGUACAGACCUGGCUGCUAGUCCCCUAGAGUGCCCAGUGCUUCCUUUUCUAGAACUGAGACAAAUAAAAAGUAAACUCCAGUUCUGGAGUCCUGUUUUGCAGGCCCCGUUCCCAAAUGUCAGCUCCUAAUGGGCAACAGCUGCCUCUGUGGUUUCUUCUAGGCAAGUGAUUCAUGUCUUUGCUCAGAAACGAUAAGCAGAACAAAUGUUUGCUUAGACAUAUAACAGAGGGACAAUUGGAAAACAGGAGACUGGCAACUGGAAAUAGUUUGCAGCUAUUUGAUCCAUGAUAAUUAGUCUGAAUUAGUCAUAUGGUGCUCACUGGCCAGGCCUUUGGGCCAGAGGCAGCGUGGGGGAAUAGACAGCUGGUCUUCCUGGAAAAGAAGUGCAGAAGGGAACAUAGCAGACACAGAGGUUUGCUCAGAACACGUCAGAUUGGCUCUUGCCCUCUCAAAGGUGACCCGUCUUGACCAUCUGCCUUAGUUGCACUCCAUACCGGAUCCGGGUCCCCAGCCUGGAAAUGAGUGGAGAGGCAGAAACUACACACCCAUGGGAGAUGCCUCUAAAAUCCAUUAACAAUUUUUUACACACUCAGAAGUUAAAGUAAACAAUAGGUUGAAUUUUGUGUGUGUGCAGGUGGGAAAAAGCUUCAAAAAUAUCCAGACACCCACAUUCAUUGGAUUUUAAUCUUAGGGAUCAUGUUAGGUAUACUGACUCAUUUAAGAGAUAUAUGGACCUUGAAUUUGGAACCUAAAAGUGGGACUUUGAGUGGAAUUUUCAGUCUGAUUAUGUUGAUAUAAUUUAAGAUCUUGUAGCCUACAUUAUACUUAUACAGAAUGUACUCCUGUGGUCAUGCUCCAAUACAUUAUUUAGCAGAUCUAUCAUAAAUAUUUUUCUUUCUGUGAGAAAAGGUUUCACUCUGUCCCCCAGGCUGGAGUGCAAUGGCACAAUCAUGGCUGACUACAGCCUCAACCUCCUGGGCUCAAGCAAUCCUCCCACCUCAGUCUCCCGAGUAGCUGGGUCUACAGGUGCCCUCCACGACCACGCCCAGCUAAUUUUUUUUUUUUUUUUUUUUUUUUUUUUUUUGUAGAUACUGGGUUUCGACAUGUUGCCCAGGCUCGUUAUCAUGAAUAUUUCUAUGAGAAGGGAGAAAAGUCAGAUACAUUCAAUAUUUCAGCCAAAAAAAAGAAAAGCUACAUUUUUGUCAAAAACUUCUCAGACCAUUUUUUGCAGAGUCAGGAGGAAAAACAAAAAGUGAAGCCCACAAACCCGACCCCCUCCUCACCUCAGAUUAGAAUCUGUAAUAUUGGAGGCCUCUGGGAGUAGAAUUUAAGUCACUAGGAAGGUGGACACAUCGGCAAAGCCAGCCCGGAGCUGAGUAGGGCAUCGACUGCUUUACCAGCAAACAUGAACGAAGCUAAUUUUG